rnacentral:rRNA from 1 species
ACGCACGCUGGCGGCGUGCUUCACCCCUGCCAGUCGCACGGAAAGGCCCUGCUUGCAGGGUCCUCGAGUGGCGAACGGGUGAGUAACACGUGGGUGAUCUGCCCUGCACUUCGGGAUAAGCCUGGGAAACUGGGUCUAAUACCGGAUAGGAGCCAUUUUUAGUGUGAUGGUUGGAAAGUUUUUUCGGUGUAGGAUGAGCUCGCGGCCUAUCAGCUUGUUGGUGGGGUAAUGGCCUACCAAGGCGGCGACGGGUAGCCGGCCUGAGAGGGUGGACGGCCACAUUGGGACUGAGAUACGGCCCAGACUCCUACGGGAGGCAGCAGUGGGGAAUAUUGCACAAUGGGCGCAAGCCUGAUGCAGCGACGCCGCGGGGGGGAUGACGGCCUUCGGGUUGUAAACUCCUUUCGCUAGGGACGAAGCUUUUUGUGACGGUACCUAGAUAAGAAGCACCGGCUAACUACGUG